rnacentral:rRNA from 1 species
UACGUAGGGGGCUAGCGUUGUCCGGAAUCAUUGGGCGUAAAGAGCGUGUAGGCGGCCCGGUAAGUCCGCUGUGAAAGUCGGGGGCUCAACCCUCGGAUGCCGGUGGAUACUGUCGGGCUCGAGUACGGAAGAGGCGAGUGGAAUUCCUGGUGUAGCGGGUGAAAUGCGCAGAUAUCAGGAGGAACACCAAUGGCGAAGGCAGCACUCUGGGACGGUACUGACGCUGAGACGCGAAAGCGUGGGGAGCAAACAGG